rnacentral:lncRNA from 1 species
CCAGAAGCUGCCUCAGUGCUGACUUGCGGAAAAGAGCCCCUCCCCAACCCUCUUGCAUCCUGGGACAUUGAGGAUUCAGAGCCAUUUUGUGAGAUUUACAGAGCCCAGACGCUGCCUCAGUGCUGACUUGUGGAAAAGUGCCCCUCCCCAACCCUCUUGCAUUCUGGGACAUUGAGGAUUCAGCGCCAUUUUGUGAGGAUGUUGGAGGCGGACUCGCCACACUUUCGGUGUUGAGGAAGUUGAGACUGAGUAAAUGGGAUUACCAGAGAAGCAGAGAGAGCCACACCUGGUUACCAGAGUAGGUGUAUAGUAUCUGCCGGCAAUCAAGGACAUUGGUCUCAGAGAUCUAAAGACCCUGGUUAAAGGAACCCUGACUGAAGUCGAAGUCAUCAAGGGAGGCUCUCAAGUCGGCC